UAUCAGUUAGAGGAUACAGAACAAGCAAGGCAUUGACCACAUACAUUAGUCUCCUGUAGCACAGAAUAUUGAAAUAAGACGAGGAAAAUAUUAUAACCAAAAUGUGGGCGGGAACUAGAACACGGAGGCUUCAGAGUUGGAAGUUUUUUCCCAAAGCGGAGGCAACUGCUGAUAAGCUCUGGUGGGGGAUUCCAUAAUCUAGGCAGUGUUGCAGAGAGAGGAAACAGAGAGUGUAGGGUAGAAGGCAUUUGUCAGGGAGAAGUGAUUAGGAGGUUGUGGUAAAAAAUAAGGGAUCCCUACGCAGGGACACUGGAUCCGAGAAAAGCGGCAUUGCAGGAAAAUUAGUGAGGUGGGAUACACAGGGCUGAUUGAAAUGCCAAAGAAGAGGCUACGGAGAAAGGACAGAAGGAGGAAUCAGCUCACUUCAAGGGCUGGAGUCUGAGUUCCUGGGAGGAUGGUCAUGCCAUUGACAGAAAUCUAGAACGCGGGUUAAGGGGCACCUCGUGGUGGGGAUGGAGAGCAUAGUAAAUGUGAUCCAUCCUGCCGAGGUUGAUUUUAAGGAGCUGAUUAGACCUGCCGUGUAAAGUGUCAUUAGACCUGAGCUAGAGCUCAGGAGAGGGGUCAAGCCAUUUUGAAACCAUCAGGAAAGAGGAAAAGCCAUCGGGACUGUGAAACUCUAGGAGGAAAAUGAGAAGGGUCCAGGGGAUGAAGGCAACAGUUUCAGGCCGUUGACUGGAAGGGGAGGCAAAUCGACUCUCCGUGAGGAUGUGGACACUGAGGGUCGGAAAGCUUAAACGACUCAUCGGAGGCCACACAGCUAAUUUGUGACCUGAAGGAAGUCCAACCCGAGUGGGUCUGAUUUGGGAAGCCACUCCCUCCGAUUCCACCAGCCCGCCACCUGGCACCCCGCCUCAGUCCAAGGUCCACCGCACCACCUUCUACCCCUUCCACGUCCUGGAGGCGGCAACUUCUGCUCGACACAGCCCAAACGACUCCAAAAACAGAGAGCGGAUCCUCUCCUGGUGAAUGAAGGAAGGUGUUUCAUUUUCUGCCGCGUCCUAUCUCCCGACAGCUAAGUGCCUCGUUCCUCAUUGGCUUCGUAGGGCGGCUCUGGAGGAAGAAAUGAAAUCCUUUAUAUAGACUCACCAACCUCAUUGUGUGUGCCAUAAAAGGUGCUUCAUAUGAGUCGGCGGUUAUUUUUCUGUGCUCUUCGUGAUGGGCUCCUCAUUUGGACAUACCCCAAACUCCCAAAUUACUUAAAAAAAAAAAAAUGUUCCCUUUCAUACCAG
rnacentral:lncRNA from 1 species